rnacentral:rRNA from 1 species
GACGAACGCUGGCGGCGUGCUUAACACAUGCAAGUCGAACGGAAAGGCCCUGCUUUUGUGGGGUGCUCGAGUGGCGAACGGGUGAGUAACACGUGAGUAACCUGCCCUUGCCUUUGGGAUAACUUCAGGAAACUGGGGUUAAUACCGGAUAGGAGCUCCUGCUGCAUGGUGGGGGUUGGAAAGUUUCGGCGGUUGGGGAUGGACUCGCGGCUUAUCAGCUUGUUGGUGGGGUAGUGGCUUACCAAGGCUUUGACGGGUAGCCGGCCUGGGCGGGUGACCGGCCACAUUGGGACUGAGAUACGGCCCAGACUCCUACGGGAGGCAGCAGUGGGGAAUAUUGCACAAUGGGCGGAAGCCUGAUGCAGCAACGCCGCGUGCGGGAUGACGGCCUUCGGGUUGUAAACCGCUUUCGCCUGUGACGAAGCGUGAGUGACGGUAAUGGGUAAAGAAGCACCGGCUAACUACGUG